rnacentral:lncRNA from 1 species
GGAGUGAAGCUCUCAUCUGAGGAAGUCGAGAGCCCCACGCUGGGGCUCCUGCCCAGUCCUGCUUCAGGGGGCCAGGGAAGGGGUGCCUCCAGGCCUUAGCCCACUCCUGCUGUGCAGGGGCCGCUGAGCCAUCCCCUUCACCCCGCUGGGCUCCAGCUGUGAGGCCUCUUUCCCAGUGUCCUCUCUGGAGCAGCGGCCAACCCUGGCUGCGUGUGCGUGUGCGUGCGUGUGCGUGCGUGUGCGGAAAGCCCUCCUGUCUUGACUUCUGUGCUUUGUCUCCACGUCUCUCUCACUUCAGCUGUUUUUGUUCACCAGGAUCUCUUGUCCUAAAUUUUCCCUUUCCUUCCCUUUCUCUCUGGAAAAACAAACAAAACAAAGCAAACACCCCAAGGACCCCAGGAGUCCUCGGCCGGCUCCUGACAAUGCGUUUCCCGUUGCCCCGCAGCGGCCUGUCUGGUACCGGCUCCUGCUGCGGGCACCUCCCCUGCACUCCACGCUCUGGGACGCGGCACCCGGGUCUCCGCAGUGGGGCCGCCCGCCACCCGCUCCCGAGUCAAAAGCUUUGCUUGAAACACGGGAAGGACUUGGCAAAUCCAAGGUCCAGCGAGGCGGCGUCCACACCCUCUGUUGCCAGUGUCUGGGCAAAUGAAGCCCAGGCCUGAGCUGGUGGGGACAGCGUCUGGGGUGAGUCUGACCCCUCCUCCCUCUGUGGUGGGGUUUCUGCCUGUGAGGCCGAGGGUCUGUGCACUGGACAUGUCAGCC